AGCGAACGCUGGCGGCAGGCUUAACACAUGCAAGUCGAGCGGGCACUUUCGGGUGUCAGCGGCGGACGGGUGAGUAACGCGUGGGAACGUGCCCUCUGGUUCGGAAUAACUCAGGGAAACUUGAGCUAAUACCGGAUACGCCCUUUUGGGGAAAGGCUUGCUGCCGGAGGAUCGGCCCGCGUCUGAUUAGCUAGUUGGUGAGGUAACGGCUCACCAAGGCGACGAUCAGUAGCUGGUCUGAGAGGAUGAUCAGCCACACUGGGACUGAGACACGGCCCAGACUCCUACGGGAGGCAGCAGUGGGGACUAUUGGACAAUGGGCGCAAGCCUGAUCCAGCCAUGCCGCGUGAGUGAUGAAGGCCUUAGGGUUGUAAAGCUCUUUUAUCCGGGACGAUAAUGACGGUACCGGAGGAAUAAGCCCCGGCUAACUUCGUG
rnacentral:rRNA from 1 species